rnacentral:rRNA from 1 species
AACGAACGCUGGCGGCAUGCCUAACACAUGCAAGUCGAACGAGACCUUCGGGUCUAGUGGCGCACGGGUUCGUAACGCGUGGGAACCUGCCCUUAGGUUCGGAAUAACUCCCCGAAAGGGGUGCUAAUACCGGAUAAUGUCUUCGGACCAAAGAUUUAUCGCCUUUGGAUGGGCCCGCGUUGGAUUAGCUAGUUGGUAGGGUAAAAGCCUACCAAGGCGACGAUCCAUAGCUGGUCUGAGAGGAUGAUCAGCCACACUGGGACUGAGACACGGCCCAGACUCCUACGGGAGGCAGCAGUGGGGAAUAUUGGACAAUGGGCGAAAGCCUGAUCCAGCAAUGCCGCGUGAGUGAUGAAGGCCUUAGGGUUGUAAAGCUCUUUUACCCGGGAUGAUAAUGACAGUACCGGGAGAAUAAGCGCCGGCUAACUCCGUG